UACGGAGGGUGCAAGCGUUAUCCGGAUUCACUGGGUUUAAAGGGUGCGUAGGCGGGCAGGUAAGUCAGUGGUGAAAUCUCCGAGCUUAACUCGGAACUGCCGUUGAUACUAUUUGUCUUGAAUAUUGUGGAGGUAAGCGGAAUAUGUCAUGUAGCGGUGAAAUGCUUAGAUAUGACAUAGAACACCAAUUGCGAAGGCAGCUUACUACACAACGAUUGACGCUGAGGCACGAAAGCGUGGGAUCAAACAGG
rnacentral:rRNA from 1 species